rnacentral:lncRNA from 1 species
CGACCCUGCGGCGCCGGCGACCAAGGCCCAGGUCGCCAUCUCCGAGGGCUUCUACCACUACGGCAUCAGGUUGGACAAGGGGUUCAACCUGCCCAUGGAUCUCACGUGCAGCUCCGGCGACGCGCUCCGGUGCCGGGAGGACGGGUGCCACGACGCGUUCCCAUACGUGAAGUACAACGACCACUCAUGCACCACCGCCGGCAGCCGGCUCCAGAUCGUCUUCUGCCCAUGAUGAGCUAGCUAGCUAGCGGCAGAACGUAAACAUAUAACCUACAAUAUACUACAUGUAGUAGUACAUACUCAGACGUGUCAUGUAUUCUCAGCGGUACGUACGUACACGUAUGAACACACGUGCGAGUUUCCAAUAAAAUUGCCAUGUGUGAUGUGCCUUUGAUAUAUUGUUCUUUUUUAUCGAAUGCUUUUGAUAUAUUGUUCUUUUUUAUUGAAUGCCUUUGAUAUAUUGUUUACGGGAAUUUACACACAAAAGAACGUGAAUUUGAACAAGAUAGCCUACAAAUAUGUAUGUUUUUCCACACACACAAAAUAUAUGUAUGUUCUAACAUUGGGACUUAGCUUGAAUAUUUUUUUUCGAGGGGUGGGACUCAGGUUGAUGGUCAGGGUCUCAAAUGGCAUGGCCACGAUUUUUAGAGAGGUUGAGCCAGGAUAUGUUAUUGGGGCAUGAUACCAGCUUUUUUUCCAACCGGGCUCACAACCCCUUUCCAUUAAUUUUGCAAUCAACGGAAAUACAUCAGUCUGGUUUCAAGUUCUGUAUCGAGCAUCCACUUGCUAAAGAUAACUAGACUGAAAGAUAGAACUAACCGCAAGCAAAAUGAGACUGAAAGAGGAGAGCAGGUUGGUGCAUCAUCAGGAAACCCAUCGUCGGACAAUCCUGGAACGGACCAUCCGCCGUGGCGCGAAAACCUGAUGACACUUACAAGCAACUGCCCAACCAAAAUACCCAAGGUUCCGAGGAUGAAACUGCCAGUAAGCCUCUACGACUAGGCGAAGCACAACCAGGAAGCACAAUUGCCAGCGGGCAUCAAACCCCAGUGGACAACAGAACGCAAAAGGAAAGAUCCAAGCGCCAAUUUCAUCUAACCAAUCUGGAUCCCAUCUCUGUCUCCCAAGAGAAGUCGCCACGAGGGAAGGACCUGUCCGCCAGCGCAGCAGCCGCGUGAGCUAACCUCUUCACUCCAGCUUGGAACUUCACCUUCUCAUCCUCCUUAAGCAGACCUCACUAGUAGAAAAAGGGUCAAACGUGAAGCACAUUAGUGCCGGUUUGUAUUUGAGCCGGUACUAAUGGUACCAUUAGUGCCGGUUCGAACGGAUUUGCAUUAAUGCCGGUUCGUGUUGAACCUUUAAUACCGGUUCGUGGCACGAACCGGUACUAAAGGGGUGGUGGCAGGCUGGCGUCAGGCCGGGGCCCCACGAUCACCUUUAGUACCGGUUCGUGGCACGAACCGGUACUAAAGGGGUCUGACCUAUAGUACCGGUUGGAGACACAAACCGGCACUAUAGGGCAAUUUUCAAACUUGAAAAAAUCAUAACUAAAUCAUCGUAAUUCAGUAAAAUACAUAUAAUAUAUCAAAAUAUGCAGACUUUUAAGGAAGAAAUUAGGAAGGCUAUACAGGGAAAAUGCGUGAAGGUUCUCGCAGAGUGUGUUCCUUUAAUCUCACCAACCAGUUAGCUUAGGAUGUGCGAAUCAAUCUGUGGUUGGACGGUUAGAGGGACAGUAGUAUCCACAGCCCAUCAGGGUUUAAGUCCUGGUUCUCACAUUAUUCCUGGAUUUAUUUUAGGAUUUCUGGCGUUGUGCUUUCAGCGGGAGGAGACGUUCCUGUCGACAACGAGGCGCCUACGGUGACUUUGUAAAUGUCAAGAUGAUAUACUGGCUAGGUCUCUCGUAGGUGCUCAUAGGGGUAGGAAUGUGCAUGUGUGCAUUCAUAGGGGUGAGCGUAUGUGCGUAUGUUUGAGCACUUGCGUCUAUACUAUGCUAAAAAAUAGAUAGCUCGGAAUGUGUGUUAUGCUAUAUGUAUAUAACCUAGUUUCCGCUGUAAAGGGCCCGUGCGUUGCAAUGUGAAAACCCGCGAAAGUUGACCUCGGUACCAAUUGGCAGGAUCUCACAGACCUGCGAGGGCCCCACUUGCCACCCUUCCUUCCCACCGACACGGAUCCUGCAAGUAUACUCUUCAUCCACGUGUUGUGUGGCUCAAACAUGGACGAAAAUACACAGUAAUCGUGCAUGCUUGUCGUCCUGAAUGAAGAUACAUAAAUUUACAGAAUAUUUUUAAUACAGGUUGAAUUUUUUUGAAGUACACGUUGUCAAUUUUUUGAAUGCAUGACGAACAUAUUUCGAAAACACGUUUGCAGUUUUUUAAUACAUGUGAAACAUUUUUGGAAAACAUGUUUACAAUUUUAUAAUAUACAGGAGGUGCUCUUCGGUCUAGCUGAAGCCGAAGAGGUGCUCUUCGGUCUAACUUAGGCCGAAGACAGGUCUUCGGUGUACUGUAGACUGAAGAGCUCCGAAGCCGGGCUGAAAAGAACUCUUCGGUCUACGCUUGGCCGAUGAGUGCACUUCGGUUUAAGCCAAGCCGAAGUGUCCUCUGAGGCCCACCUCUUCCCGUGAACUGCAGACCGAAGUUGCAUGGCACCACACUUCGGUUUACACUUGGCUGAAGAGGACCUCUUCGGUUUAUACUAGGCUGAAGAGUGACCUUUUCCCGCCAAGCCUUUUCCGCCAUCUGUAAUGUAUCUUUCCCUCCAUUCGUUCACGCCAUUUUCUUUCCCUCCACUGUUUCCUUCCAUCCUCUUUCCCGCCCAAUUUUCCUGCCAACCCCUUACCCUCAUUCUAUAAAACCAGACCCCUUGCCUGUUGUUUUCUGCAUCUUUCCUUACCAAUAUUUUCAGUCAUGUCCGACGACAAUUCCGGCGGUUUUACUCCACUAAUGUCUCAUUUUCCCUUGUGCAAUGCCUCAAGAAUGCAUAGGCCUAGUAUGGGGUGUGUGUGGAGGAAAUAUACCCUAGAGGCAAUAAUAAAGUUAUUAUUUAUUUCCUUAUUUCAUGAUAAAUGUUUAUUAUUCAUGCUAGAAUUGUAUUAACCGGAAACAUAAUACAUGUGUGAAUACAUAGACAAACAAAGUGUCACUAGUAUGCCUCUACUUGACUAGCUCGUUGGUCAAAGAUGGUUAUGUUUCCUAACCAUAGACACGAGUUGUCAUUUGAUUAACGGGAUCACAUCAUUAGGAGAAUGAUGUGAUUGACUUGACCCAUUCCGUUAGCUUAGCACACGAUCGUUUAGUAUGUUGCUAUUGCUUUCUUCAUGACUUAUACAUGUUCCUAUGACUAUGAGAUUAUGCAACUCACAUUUACCAGAGGAACACUUUGUGUGCUACCAAACGUCACAACGUAACUGGGUGAUUAUAAAGGUGCUCUGCAAGUGUCUCUGAAGUUACUUGUUGGGUUGGCGUAUUUCGAGAUUAGGAUUUGUCACUUCGAUUGUCGGAGAGGUAUCUCUGGGUCCUCUUGGUAAUGCACAUCACUUAAGCCUUGCAAGCAAUGCAACUAAUGAGUUAGUUGCGGGAUGAUGUAUUACGGAACGAGUAAAGAGACUUGCCAGUAACGAGAUUGAACUAGGUAUUGAGAUACCGACGAUCGAAUCUCGGGCAAGUAACAUAUCGAUGACAAAGGGAACAACGUAUGUUAUGCAGUCUGAUCGAUAAAGAUCUUCGUAGAAUAUGUAGGAGCCAAUAUGAGCAUCCAGGUUCCGCUAUUGGUUAUUGACUGGAGACAUGUCUCGGUCAUGUCUACAUUGUUCUCGAACCCGUAGGGUCCGCACGCUUAAGUUUUCGAUGACAGUUAUAUUAUGAGUUUAUAAGUUUUGAUGUACCGAAGGAGUUCGGAGUCCCGGAUGAGAUCGAGGACAUGACGAGGAGUCUCGAAAUGGUCGAGACAUAAAGAUCGAUAUAUUGGACGACCAUAUUCGGACAUCGGAAAGGUUCCGAGUGAUUCGGGUAUUUUUCGGCCUACCGAAGAGUUACGGGAAUUCGUCGGGGAGUAUAUGGGCCUUAUUGGGCCAUACGGGAAUAGAGGAGAGAGGCCAAAAGGAAGGAGGCCCCCCCUCUGGUCCGAAUUGGACAAGGGGUGCAACAACAACAUACAACUAUCUAGAUAAUGCAUUUAAAUGCAACAAUAAAUGUGAUCAAAAUUGCAACUAAGGUAAUAAUUGAUCCAAUAGCAUAAUGAUACCAAGCCUAUUUAUUAGCGGCAUAUUUUCUAAACUUUCUAAUCUUCAAGCGCAUUGCAUCCAUCUUGAUCUUUGGAUCAUCGACGACAACAGCAACAUACAAAUCCAAUUUCAUCUUCUCUUCUCAAUUCUUUUUAAUUUUUCUUUCAAAUACUCAUUUUCUUUUUCUACUAAAUUUAACUUCUCGACAAGAGGGUCGGUGGCAAUUUCUGGUUCACAUACCUCCUAGAUAAAAAUAUAUAUGUCAGCUUGAUGGGCAUAAUUGUCAUAAACACGAAAUGCAACAAAUAGUUAUAAAAGAUAUUAUACCACAUCCGAAUCAUAAAUCGGACAAGGGCCGUCGGCGAAGGAUAUCAAAACCAUGGCACUACGUAUAACAAACAAUCAUACAAGUAAGAAAAUUAUACAAGCAACUAUCUAAAUCAUAGAAAUAAGAUUUCUUUGCACAAAAAGGAUAAGAACAAGAGCCUCACCAAGGAGGUGUCGGCGACGGGACGGCGCGGGCGACCGAUGGCGGUGAGGACGGGAAGGCAGUAGUUAAACCACACCUACACAUAUGGAAACUAAGAAGUUAAUUUGAGCUCAAAUUACAUAUAAAUCAAAUAAACUCCCACAUAAUUACUCCCAAACCAAAACCCACAAAUGACUAUACUUAUACAGCAUGAAACAAGCUAAACUAGCAAUGAGAGAGGAAAGGACAAAGUUACUAACCUUUUAAACACUUAGAUAGAUGGGGUGCCUCAAAUCUUAACAAAUCUUGGCAGUUAGAUGACACCACUACACUACACACGGUAGGAGUGAUCUUGAACGAAACACAAGGGAAAAAAGUCGGACCCGACAAAGGUCGUCCAGGUAGGUAGCCAUCUUUGAAUUGAAUGAGUGUUCUCCAAAGUAGCUAUCUCGGUGAGAUGAUCGACAUCUUCAUCACGAACCCUAUAUAAACGCCAAGCUCCAUGAGCUCAGUCCCAGCACACACACACCCAUAGUUCCACCUAAUAUAAUGGCCGGAAGCGCGAGCGCCACUCUGGUCCUCCUCGUCGUCGUGGUCGCGGCCCUCGCCGUGGGGGCCAGCGCGACAUCGACGCUGACGCCGCUCAGCAUCACCAACCGGUGCUCCUUCACGGUAUGGCCGGCGGUGGCCUCCGCAGGCCUCGGCACGGAGCUCCAUCCGGGAGCCAACUGGACCGUGGACGCGUCGGCGAUCCACUACACCGCGGACAUAUGGGGGCGCACGGGCUGCUCCUUCGACGCGGCAGGCAGGGGACGGUGCCAGACGGUGGACUGCGGCAGCGGGCUACGGUGCCGGAGCAACGACCCUGCGGCGCCGACGACCAAGGCCCAGGUCGCCAUCUCCGAGGGCUUCUACCACUACGGCAUCAUGUUGGACAAGGGGUUCAACCUGCCCAUGGAUCUCACGUGCAGCUCCGGCGACGCGCUCCGGUGCCGGGAGGACGGGUGCCACGACGCGUUCCCGUACGUGAAGUACAACGACCACUCAUGCACCGCCGCCGGCAGCCGGCUCCAAAUCAUCUUCUGCCCAUGAUGAGCUAGCUAGCGGCAGAAUGUAAACAUAUAACCUACACAUAUACUACGUGUAGUAGUACAUACUCAGACGUGUCAUGUAUUCUCAGCGGUACGUACGUACACGUAUGAACGCACGUGCGAGUUUCCAAUAAAAUUGCCAUGUGUGAUGUGCCUUUGAUAUAUUGUUCUUUUUUAUCGAAUGCCUUUGAUAUAUUGUUCUUUUUUAUUGAAUGCCUUUGAUAUAUUGUUUACGGGAAUUUACACACAAAAGAACGUGAAUUUGAACAAGAUAGCCUACAAAUAUGUAUGUUUUUCCACACACAAAAAAUAUAUGUAUGUUCUAACAUUGGGACUCAGCUUGAUUUUUUUUUCGAGGGGUGGGACUCAGGUUGAUGGUCAGGGUCUCAACUGGCAUGGCCACGAUUUUUAUAGAGAUUGAGCCAGGAUAUGUGAUUGGGGCAUGAUACCAGCUUUUUUUCCAACCGGGCUCACAACCCCUUUCCAUUAAUUUUGCAAUCAACGGAAAUACAUCAGUCUGGUUUCAAGUUCUAUAUCGAGCAUCCACUUGCUAAAGAUAACUAGACUGAAAGAUAGAACUGACCGCAAGCAAAAUGAGACUGAAAGAGGAGAGCAGGUUGGUGCAUCAUCAGGAAACCCAUCGUCGGACAAUCCUGGAACGGACCAUCCGUCGUGGCGCGAAAACCUGAUGACACUUACAAGCAACUGCCCAACCAAAAUACCCAAGGUUCCCAGGAUGAAAUUGCCAGUAAGCCUCUACGACUAGGCGAACCACAACCAGGAAGCACAAUUACCAGCGGGCAUCAAACCCCAGUGGACAACAGAACGCAAAAGGAAAGAUCCAAGCGCCGAUUUCAUCUAACCAAUCUGGAUCCCAUCUCUGUCUCCCAAGAGAAGUCUGCCACGAGGGAAGGACCUGUCCGCCAGCGCAGCAGCCGCGUGAGCUAACCUCUUCACUCCAUCUUGGAACUUCACCUUCUCAUCCUCCUUAAGCAGACCUCACUAGUAGAAAAAGGGUCAAACGUGAAGCACAUUAGUGCCGGUUUGUAUUUGAGCCGGUACUAAUGGUACCAUUAGUGCCGGUUCGAACGGAUUUGCAUUAAUGCCGGUUCGUGUUGAACCUUUAGUACCGGUUCGUGGCACGAACUGGUACUAAAGGGGUGGUGGCAGGCUGGCGUCAGGCCGGGGCCCCACGAUCACCUUCAGUACGGGUUCGUGGCACGAACCGGUACUAAAGGUCUAACCUUUAGUACCGGUUCGUGCCAUGAACCGGUACUAAAGGGGUCUGACCUAUAGUACCGGUUGGAGACACAAACCGGCACUAUAGGGCAAUUUUCAAACUUGAAAAAAUCAUAACUAAAUCAUCGUAAUUCAGAAAAAUACAUAUAAUAUAUCAAAAUAUGCAGACUUUUAAGAAAGAAAUUAGGAAGGCUAUACAGGGAAAAUGCGUGAAGGUUCUCGCAGAGUGUGUUCCUUUAAUCUCACCAACCAGUUAGCUUAGGAUGUGCGAAUCAACCUGUGGUUGGACGGUUAGAGGGACAAUAGUAUCCACAACCCAUCAUGGUUUAAGUCCUGGUGCUCACAUUAUUCCUGGAUUUAUUUUAGGAUUUCUGGCGUUGUGCUUUCAGCGGGAGGAGACGUUCCUGUCGACAACGAGGCGCCUACGGUAACUUUGUAAAUGUCAAGAUGAUAUACUGGCUAGGUCUCUCGUAGGUGCUCAUAGGGGUAGGAAUGUGCAUGUGUGCAUUCAUAGGGGUGAGCGUAUGUGCGUAUGUUUGAGCACUUGCGUCUAUACUAUGCUAAAAACAGAUAGCUCGGAAUGUGUGUUAUGCUAUAUGUAUAUAACCUAGUUUCCGCUGUAAAGGGCCCGUGCGUUGCAAUAUGAAAACCCGCGAAAGUUGACCUCGGUACCAAUUGGCAGGAUCUCACAGACCUGCGAGGGCCCCACUUGCCACCCUUCCUUCCCACCGACACGGAGCCUCCAAGUAUACUCUUCAUCCACGUGUUGUGUGGCUGAGACAUGGACAAAAAUACACAGUAAUCGUGCAUUCUUGUCGUCCUGAAUGAAGAUACAUAAAUUUACAGAAUAUUUUUAAUACAGGUUGAAUUUUUUUGAAGUACACGUUGUCAAUUUUUUGAAUGCAUGACGAACAUAUUUCGAAAACACGUUUGCAGUUUUUUAAUACAUGUGAAACAUUUUUGGAAAACAUGUUUACAAUUUUAUAAUAUACAGGAGGUGCUCUUCGGUCUAGCUGAAGCCGAAGAGGUGCUCUUCGAUCUAACUUAGGCCGAAGACAGGUCUUCGGUGUACUGUAGACUGAAGAGCUCCGAAGUCGGGCCAAAAAGAACUCUUCGGUCUACGCUUGGCUGAAGAAUGCACUUCGGUUUAAGCCAAGCCGAAGUGUCCUCUGAGGCCCACCUCUUCGCGUGAACUGCAGACCGAAGUUGCAUGGCAGCACACUUCGGUUUACACUUGGCUGAAGAGGACCUCUUUGGUUUAUACUAGGCUGAAGAGUGACCUUUUCCCGCCAAGCCUUUUCCGCCAUCUGUAAUGUAUCUUUCCCUCCAUUUGUUCACGCCAUUUUCUUUCCCUCCACUGUUUCCUUCCAUCCUCUUUCCUGCCCAGUUUUCCUGCCAACCCCUUACCGUCAUUCUAUAAAACCAGACCUCUUGCCUGUUGUUUUCUGAAUCUUUCCUUAGCAAUAUUUUCAGUCAUGUCCGACGACAAUUCCGGCGGUUUUACUCCACUAAUGUCUCAUUUGCCCUUGUGCAAUGCCUCAAGAAUGCAUAGGCCUAGUAUGGGGGGUGUGUGAAGGAAAUAUACCCUAGAGGCAAUAAUAAAGUUAUUAUUUAUUUCCUUAUUUCAUGAUUAAUAUUUAUUAUUCAUGCUAGAAUUGUAUUAACCGGAAACAUAAUACAUGUGUGAAUACAUAGACAAACAAAGUGUCACCAGUAUGCCUCUACUUGACUAGCUCGUUGGUCAAAGAUGGUUAUGUUUCCUAACCAUAGACACGAGUUGUCAUUUGAUUAACGGGAUCACAUCAUUAGGAGAAUGAUGUGAUUGACUUGACCCAUUCCGUUAGCUUAGCACACGAUCGUUUAGUAUGUUGCUAUUGCUUUCUUCAUGAAUUAUACAUGUUCCUAUGACUAUGAGAUUAUGCAACUCCCAUUUACUAGAGGAACACUUUGUGUUCUACCAAACGUCACAACGUAACUGGGUGAUUAUAAAGGUGCUCUACAAGUGUCUCUGAAGGUACUUGUUGGGUUGGCGUAUUUCGAGAUUAGGAUUUGUCACUUCGAUUGUCGGAGAGGUAUCUCUGGGUCCUCUUGAUAAUGCACAUCACUUAAGCCUUGCAAGCAAUGCAACUAAUGAGUUAGUUGCGGGAUGAUGUAUUACGGAACGAGUAAAGAGACUUGCCAGUAACGAGAUUGAACUAGGUAUUGAGAUACCGACGAUCGAAUCUCGGGCAAGUAACAUACCGAUGACAAAGGGAACAACGUAUGUUGUUAUGCUGUCUGACCGAUAAAGAUCUUCGUAGAAUAUGUAGGAGCCAAUAUGAGCAUCCAGGUUCCGCUAUUGGUUAUUGACUGGAGACGUGUCUCGGUCAUGUCUACAUUGUUCUCGAACCCGUAGGGUCCGCACGCUUAAGGUUUCGAUGACAGUUAUAUUAUGAGUUUAUAAGUUUUGAUGUACCGAAGGAGUUCGGAGUCCCGGAUGAGAUCGAGGACAUGACGAGGAGUCUCGAAAUGGUCGAGACAUAAAGAUCGAUAUAUUGGACAACCAUAUUCGGACAUCGUAAAGGUUCCGCGUGAUUCGGGUAUUUUUCGGACUACCGGAGAGUUACGGGAAUUCGCCGGGGACUAUAUGGGCCUUAUUGGGCCAUACGGGAAUAGAGGAGAGAGGCCAAAAGGAAGGAGGCCCCCCUCUGGUCUGAAUUGGACAAGGGGUGCAACAACAACAUACAACUAUCUAGAUAAAGCAUUUAAAUGCAACAACAAAUGCGAUCAAAAUUGCAACUAAGGUAAUAAUUGAUCCAAUAGCAUAAUGAUACCAAGCCUAUUUAUUUGCGGCAUAUUUUCUAAACUUUCUAAUCUUCAAGCGCAUUGCAUCCAUCUUGAUCUUUGGAUCAUCGACGACAACAGCAACAUACAAAUCCAAUUUCAUCUUCUCUUUUCAAUUCUUUUUAAUUUUUCAUUCAAAUACUCAUUUUCUUUUUCAACUAAAUUUAACUUCUCGACAAGAGGGUCGGUGGCAAUUUCUGAUUCACAUACCUCCUAAAUAAAAAUAUAUAUGUUAGCUUGAUGGGCAUAAUUGUCAUAAACACAAAAUGCAACAAAUAGUUAUAAAAGAUAUUAUACCACAUCCGAAUCAUAAAUCAGACAAGGGCCGUCGGCGAAGGAUAUCAAAACCAUGGCACUACGUAUAACAAACAAUCAUACAAGUAAGAAAAUUAUACAAGCUACUAUCUAAAUCAUAGAAAUAAGAUUUCUUUGCACAAAAAGGAUAAGAACAAGAGCCUCACCAAGGAGGUGUCGGCGACGGGACGGCGCGGGCGAUCGAUGAUGGUGAGGACGGGAAGGCAGUAGUUAAACCACACCUACACAUAUGGAAACUAAGAAGUUAAUUUGAGCUCAAAUUACAUAUAAAUCAAAUAAACUCCCACAUAAUUACUCCCAAACCAAAACCCACAAAUGACUAUACUUAUACAGCAAGAAACAAGCUAAACUAGCAAUGAGAGAGGAAAGGACAAAGUUACUAACCUUUUAAACACUUGGAUAGAUGGGGUGCCUCAAAUCUUAACAAAUCUUGGCAGUUAGAUGACACCACUACACUACACACGGUAGGAGUUAUCUUGAACGAAACACAAGGGAAAAAAGUCGGACCCGACAAAGGUCGUCCAGGUAGGUAGCCAUCUUUGAAUUGAAUGAGUGUUCUCCAAAGUAGCUAGCUCGGUGAGAUGAUCGACAUCUUCAUCACGAACCCUAUACAAACGCCAAGCUCCAUGAGCUCAGUCCCAGCACACACACACACCCACAGUUCCACCUAAUAUAAUGGCCGGAAGCGCGAGCGCCACUCCGGUCCUCCUCGUCGUCGUGCUCGCGACCCUCGUCGCGGGGGCCAGCACGACAUCGACGCUGACGCCGCUCAGCAUCACCAACCGGUGCUCCUUCACGGUGUGGCCGGCGGUGGCCUCCGCAGGCCUCGGCACCGAGCUCCAUCCGGGAGCCGACUGGACCGUGGACGCGUCGGUGAUCCACUACACCGCGGACAUAUGGGGGCGCACGGGGUGCUCCUUCGACGCGGCAGGCAGGGGGCGGUGCCAGACGGCGGACUGCGGCAGCGGGCUGCGGUGCCGGAGCACCGACCUUGCGGCACCGGCGACCAAGGCCCAGGUCGCCAUCUCCGAGGGCUUCUACCACUACGGCAUCACGUUGGACAAGGAGUUCAACCUGCCCAUGGAUCUCACGUGCAGCUCCGGCGACGCGCUCCGGUGCCGGGAGGACGGGCGCCACGAUGCGUUCCCGUACGUGAAGUACAACGACCACUCGUGCACCGCCGUCGGCAGCCGGCUCCAGACCGUCUUCUGCCCAUGAUGAGCUAGCUAGCGGCAGAAUGUAAACAUAUAACCUACACAUAUACUACGUGUAGUAGUACAUACUCAGACGUGUCAUGUAUUCUCAGCGGUACGUACGUACACAUAUGAACGCACGUGCGAGUUUCCAAUAAAAUUGCCAUGUGUGAUGUGCCUUUGAUAUAUUGUUCUUUUUUAUCGAAUGCUUUUGAUAUAUUGUUCUUUUUUAUUGAAUGC